AGGGGAUCUACAUACUUGGGUUGCUGUCCACAAGCAAUACUGGUCAAAAUCCCAAAAAAAAAUGGAGAAAAACAGCAAGAGAUAACAAGAAAAAAAUAAAAGGAAAGGGCAAAAGCAUGUUUAACCAAAUAAAUAUUAUCAUGGCUACCAUGAAUACCAGAUUAGUAUGUUCAGCAUAAGAUGCACAUGAUCAAGAAAUAUAAGAAAAUUCUCAUCUCAGACUCCAACGCCCAUUAACAACAGCUAAAUUGCCACAGUUAAAAGUCAAGACUGAUAACAGUAACUGGUUGUGCCCAUAACAUUUAAUGGAAAUUUUAGGAAGCAUUACAAAGAUUUUAGAGUCUCUUAGUCGUUAACCAACAAAAAGGUAAAAAUAUAUGUUCAAUCAUUCAAUGCAAUUGACUGGAGAAUUUUCACAGGCUACAGGAUACAUGGCCCAAAAAUCAUAUAGAUGUAGAAAUCCUACCAGCAAUCCAGCUUGUGCAAGAGU
rnacentral:misc_RNA from 1 species